UGAGGAAUAUUGCGCAAUGGACGAAAGUCUGACGCAGCCAUGCCGCGUGCAGGAUGACAGCCCUAUGGGUUGUAAACUGCUUUUCUGCUUUAAGAACCAGCCUUACGUGUAAGGCCUUGACGGUACAGCAGGAAUAAGCAUCGGCUAACUCCGUGCCAGCAGCCGCGGUAAUACGGAGGAUGCAAGCGUUAUCCGGAUUCAUUGGGUUUAAAGCGUGCGCAGGCGGAUGGGUAAGUCAGAGGUGAAAGCCUGCAGCUUAACUGUGGAAUUGCCUUUGAUACUGUCCAUCUUGAGUCCAGCUGAAGUAGGCGGAAUGUAGUAUGUAGCGGUGAAAUGCUUAGAUAUACUACAGAACACCCAUUGCGAAGGCAGCUUACUAAACUGGUACUGACGCUCAGGCACGAAAGCGUGGGGAGCAAACA
rnacentral:rRNA from 1 species